GCCAAAUGGUUACUGCUUUCACUUUGUAGUUGGUCAGUAACCACAAUUUCAGCACUGAUGAAGGAUACCCAGCCCCUCCGGUCUGAAAUACUUCCCAGGACUAACCAGAUAUUCUGACUGCAAAUUUAAAGCUUGAAGAGUUAAAUUUCAAAGAUAGAGUUCCCAUAUCAGUUGUAAUUCAAAGGUCGUGCGUACCCCUUGGCUUUAAGCAACAAGCAUAAUGGCUCAUGAAAAAGCUGAAAAUAUUGCCUGGCUGCAAUGGCUCUGAGUUAUGGCUGCCCAGAGCCACACAGGUCUGGACUGUAAGUGAUGGCCACUCAGGGCACGUGGUUGUGGGGAUCGUGCUGUGUUGCCUUAACACCACUUUACAUGGUGAUGCUUUAGCUAGUUGGUUUUCCCAGAGUGUCUCAGACCCACUGGCAGUAAAUUACCUUCUUCAGUCUCAAGCUUGUCAUGAACAAGUGAUUUACUACCAGCGAGUGAGCACUUUAUUUCCAAAAGGGAACAUAUUUUUCUCAUCAUGCUCCAUUCAUUUUUGAAUGCUCACUUAUUAUAAUUAUUCACUUUUCAAGCCCAUGCCACAGAGAUCCACAGACAAACACUCUCAGCUGCAGUUUGCCCACAAUCAAGGAUGUACUGGAUCCUUCUGCCCGGACCAGUGUCCACCUUGUUCUUGGUUCCCUUGUUGAGCAAUUAAGUACCUGUAUGUCCAAGCAGACACUUCCUUAUCUCCAUGAGCUCAUAUUUCAGAAGCAGAAGCCGCCUCUUCCCUUAUUUUUCCCAAAUUGGCAAUCUUUUCUUUAUAGAGUACACCUUAAAGGUACCUGGAUAAUCUAAUUCUAAUCAAUAAUAGUAUGGAAUAUCCCUCUGAAACAUUGAUGGAGUCCCAGCCAGCCGGACAAGCUAGCUUUCUGCAAGCCUGAAAUGUUGAGGAGGCCAGGGCACAUCACCUUCUCCCCGGAACCAAAUGAACUUUAUGGAUAGUUGUACUUUGCAGGACCUGUUUACACUGGGCGUGUAAACGCAAUCAUGGUCAGGUGGUCUCUUACUUAUUAAAAUCAGGAGCU